UCCUUUAAGCAGCUUUCACAUUGUGGC
rnacentral:sRNA from 1 species